GAGCACAUGGCCCAGGGGUGGAGCCGACCUCCAGACACCAGAAGAACAACCUAAGUUCCUCCCACACAGUCAGACUUGAAACUAGAGGACAGACAGAGAACCAGGAAUGUCUACUUUGCCCCCAUGAGGAAUAGAAACAACUUCCUGACUAUCCCUUGGUGGGACAGGAGGACUUUCAAGAGGAUGAAACUCUGAAAAAGAGUUUACCCUGUGAUUAAUUAAAUGAAAUCCUCAAUGGCCAGAGUAAUUAUACAAAGAUUAAGUGUCAAAUGGGAGAGAGUUUACCUGGAAGCAGUAAGAUUCGUUGCUUUUAUUGGUUCAUUUGUUUUGUUUUCUGCUUUCGGUAGAAAUGGAUCUUCACGAGUCAGUUGAAUUUGAUUAAACAGAAUUUAGCAUUUCAGCCAUUUGGGUGACAGUGGGUGCAUUCUAAAGUCAGCACACCACCCAAAGUGAUAUAUGAGGUGGAAUGGGAGGGGUGGCAGGUAUUCAGCUUAAAGGACCGGGAUAUCAUGAUCAGUGGCUACUGUUUUACUUUUAAAAACCUUCCUUUUCUGGGUCUAGAAU
rnacentral:lncRNA from 1 species